rnacentral:rRNA from 1 species
AUGAGCUUCUCGUCGGCGUGCAAGCAGCAGGUGCUGGGCGCCGGCGGCGAGGAGGCGAGGGAGGAGGAGGGGGCGAUGGAGCUCAUCCCCGGCCUGCCGGAGGAGGUGGCCGAGAAGUGCCUCCUCCACCUCCCCUUCCUCUACCACCGCCUGUUCCGCACCGUCUCCUCCAACUGGAACCGGUUCCUCACCGACGCGCCGGGGGCCGCCGCCAAGGGCUCGGCUCCGCCGGCGGCGACGGCGACCGUGUCCCUCUCACUGCCGUUCCUCUUCGCCUUCGCCUUCGACCCCGUCUCGCGCCGCCUCCAGUGCCAGGCGCUCGACCCCUUCUCCCGCCGCUGGCUGCUGCUGCCCCCGGUCCCCUGCGGCGCCGCGGCCGGCUCGUUCGCGGUGGUGGGCCUCCCCGCACGCGGCGAGAUCUACGUAAUCGGCGGCGUGGAGGAGGGCGGCGACAAGGCCGUGAGCAGCGUGGCCGUGUACAGCGCGGCGACCAACCGGUGGGGGCAGGUGGCCGGCAUGAGGACGGCGAGGGGGUACAUGGCGGCCGGCGAGGUGGGCGGGCGCGUGGUGGUGGCCGGCGAGGACGGCGAGGCGGAGGUGUUCGACCCGGAGUCGGCGCGGUGGUCGCCCGCAGCUCCCCGGGGCGGCGCGGCCGUGGCGAGGUACGACGCGGCGGCGGCGGGCGGGAAGCUGUACGUGACGGAGGGGUGGGCGUGGCCGUUCGAGCGCGCGCCGCGGGGCGCGGUGUACGACGCGGCGGCGGACGCGUGGUCGGACAUGGCCCGCGGGAUGCGGGAGGGGUGGACGGGCUCCUGCGCCGUGUCCGGCGGCCGGAUGUACAUCGUGGCCGAGUACGGCGAGUGGCGGCUGAAGCGGUACGACGAGCCGCGCGACGAGUGGCGGAUGGUGGCCGGCGGCGGGGUGCCGCAGGAGGUGCGGCGGCCGCACGUCGUCGCGGGCCAGCUGGAGGAGGUCGGCUGCGGCAGGCGCAGGAUCUACGUGGUCGGCGCGGGCCUCGACGUCGCCGUCGGCACCGUGUCCGCCGUCCAGAGCGGCGCGGCGGAGGAGGAGCGGGUGGAGUGGGAGGUCGUGAAGGGGCCCGAGGAGUUCGUCGGGCUCGCGCCCUGCAACGCGCAGGUCCUCUACGCCUGA